CUUUAUUGUGGGCCCUCCUCAGUGCCAACAUUGCUUUGUCUCUCGCUGGAGAAGCCUGUGAGAACGAGGAUGGGCAAAGUGUCAGGCUCUUGGUGCAGCUGAAAAUCCUUUGAGAUGGAAGAAAUGGCUGGAACAAAGGGGCAGAGGAACAAAAAGCCCUGAACUGCUUCGCCCCUGCCUCGUGGGGUCUUUAUCAUCUUAAACCUUGGGAUUUGAACAUCUGUCCAGUCCCUGGGAUGGUGAGGCUAUAACCACAAAGGAAUAAGAGAAGACGACUAGUUUUGUAAUGGGCACAGUGGAUUGAAGAGGGGGGCAGUGCUGAGUCAUUCACGUGGUGUGUGAGGGCUCCUGUUUGUAAAUCAGGGAUUCUUGCAGCCUGCUUUUUCAGGGACAUUGGCUGCUGUCUUCUGACCCACCCUGUGUGGCUUUGGCGUCUCCUGUGACCUCCCAGUAUGGGUCUUGGCCUCAUCCUGCCUCUUUGUCUUUCUGGCCCACCACCCACAGCUUGAAUCUCA
rnacentral:lncRNA from 1 species